rnacentral:lncRNA from 1 species
CAACCCUCGCAGCCCUUUCAUUUCUCAAAUCUUCUCUGCCUGUAACUGGACAACGUACCCCCUGCAGUGUUUCAAUAGCCCAUCCGUGGUAGAAAUCGGAAAAACUGAAAGCCAAAGGUAAAAUCAUCCUCCAAUCUUUUGGUUUCAUUGUCAGAUGUAUUUGUUUUAGAGAAAUGGAACAAGAUCUAACACAUGCAUGUGGUUUUAUCUGUGUGAGGACCCCCAAUAGUUGCAAAUUCGAGAUAGACAACACAAGGAAAAUACCCCAAGUCGCCAUCUCUUCUCAACCAAACCAUGUUGCUCCCAACCCUCACGCCAUCACGGAUUCGAGUUCUAAGCAUGCAGAUCGAGACCAUUUCGCACAUGCAACGGUAAUCAUCUCCCACUUGGUUCAAUAUACAUGUCUCUCAGCUUGCGUAAAAUCUCUCAAAGCUAUAUUGUCGUUAUGAGUCUACGUAUAAGCUUACAGUGAUGUUCUUCUAUAGUAGGUA